GGAUAGGCUGACUGUGGAUUAUGACAGUGAGUUCGAACUAAUAUUCAGGUGCAGAAAUAUUAAAGGUUAAAGAUUCAAAGACACAACAAAGUAACGAACGGAGAAUAUUGCAACUUUUUAAAGCCCUGCUCGAAAGUCGGCGGGACAAUUUAUCGUUGGACUAAAAGAAAUUCGUCAAGUGCUAGGUUUUCAUCACUGAGAGUGAGAUGGAGGCCUAUCAAGUUUGAAGAGCAAG